rnacentral:rRNA from 1 species
GAUGAACGCUGGCGGCGUGCCUAAUACAUGCAAGUCGAGCGAACAGACGAGGAGCUUGCUCCUCUGACGUUAGCGGCGGACGGGUGAGUAACACGUGGAUAACCUACCUAUAAGACUGGGAUAACUUCGGGAAACCGGAGCUAAUACCGGAUAAUAUAUUGAACCGCAUGGUUCAAUAGUGAAAGACGGUUUUGCUGUCACUUCUAGCUGGAUCCGGGCGGCAUUAGCUAGUUGGUAAGGUAACGGCUUUCCACGGCGACGAUGCGUAGCCGACCUGAGAGGCUGGUCGGCCACACGGGAAGUGGAACGCGGACAAGGCGCCUACGGGAGGCAGCAGUAGGGAAUCUUCCGCAGUGGGCGAAAGCCUGACGGAGCAACGCCGCGUGAGUGAUGAAGGUCUCCGGAUCGUAAAACUCUGUUAUGAGUGAAGAACAAAUGUGUAAGUAACUAUGCACGUCUUGACGGUACCUGAUCAGAAAGCCACGGCUAACUACGCG